rnacentral:lncRNA from 1 species
UUGGAGAUAUUAUAAGCUAGAAUUUGGUUGAAGGUGUUAUAAGAAACCAAUUGAAUGAUGUUGCAACAGUAAACCAAGUAAAUGAAGCAAGCAUAGCAGUCAAAAUCACGAUAUACAUCGUAGGAUCGGUAGAUCUUACGAGUUUUCAACAAUUAGCGAGUCGUGUGCCAAAUCUAGAUGCAAUAUUACGACCACUGAUAGAAGUUC